CCUACGGGAGGCAGCAGUGAGGAAUAUUGGUCAAUGGACGCAAGUCUGAACCAGCCAUGCCGCGUGCAGGAAGACGGCGCUAUGAGUUGUAAACUGCUUUUGUACGAGGGUAAACGCAGAUACGCGUAUCUGUCUGAAAGUAUCGUACGAAUAAGGAACGGCUAACUCCGUGCCAGCAGCCGCGGUAAUACGGAGGAUUCAAGCGUUAUCCGGAUUUAUUGGGUUUAAAGGGUGCGUAGGAGGUCGGGUAAGUUAGAGGUGAAAUCCCGAGGCUCCACUUCGGAAUUGCCUCUGAUACUGUUCGGCUUGAGCGUAGUUGCGGUAGGCGGAAUGUCUGGUGUAGCGGUGACCUGCU
rnacentral:rRNA from 1 species